rnacentral:rRNA from 1 species
AGUGGGGAAUAUUGCACAAUGGGGGAAACCCUGAUGCAGCCAUGCCGCGUGUGUGAAGAAGGCCUUCGGGUUGUAAAGCACUUUCAGUUGUGAGGAAGGUGGUGUCGUUAAUAGCGGCAUCAUUUGACGUUAGCAACAGAAGAAGCACCGGCUAACUCCGUGCCAGCAGCCGCGGUAAUACGGAGGGUGCGAGCGUUAAUCGGAAUUACUGGGCGUAAAGCGCAUGCAGGUGGUUUGUUAAGUCAGAUGUGAAAGCCCGGGGCUCAACCUCGGAACUGCAUUUGAAACUGGCAGACUAGAGUACUGUAGAGGGGGUAGAAUUUCAGGUGUAGCGGUGAAAUGCGUAGAGAUCUGAAGGAAUACCGGUGGCGAAGGCGGCCCCCUGGACAGAUACUGACACUCAGAUGCGAAAGCGUGGGGAGCAAACAGGAUUAGAUACCCUGGUAG